rnacentral:rRNA from 1 species
GCUUGCUCCCAGGCGUCGAGCGGCGGACGGGUGAGUAACACUUAGGAAUCUACCUAGUAGUGGGGGAUAGCUCGGGGAAACUCGAAUUAAUACCGCAUACGUCCUACGGGAGAAAGGGGGCAGUUUACUGCUCUCGCUAUUAGAUGAGCCUAAGUCGGAUUAGCUAGUUGGUGGGGUAAAGGCCUACCAAGGCGACGAUCUGUAGCUGGUCUGAGAGGAUGAUCAGCCACACCGGGACUGAGACACGGCCCGGACUCCUACGGGAGGCAGCAGUGGGGAAUAUUGGACAAUGGGGGAAACCCUAAUCCAGCCAUGCCGCGUGUGUGAAGAAGGCCUUUUGGUUGUAAAGCACUUUAAGCAGUGAAGAAGACCUAACGGUUAAUACCCGUUAGCGAUGACAUUAGCUGCAGAAUAAGCACCGGCUAACUCUGUGCCAGCAGCCGCGGUAAUACAGAGGGUGCAAGCGUUAAUCGGAAUUACUGGGCGUAAAGCGAGCGUAGGUGGCUUGAUAAGUCAGAUGUGAAAUCCCCGGGCUUAACCUGGGAACUGCAUCUGAUACUGUUAAGCUAGAGUAGGUGAGAGGGAAGUAGAAUUCCAGGUGUAGCGGUGAAAUGCGUAGAGAUCUGGAGGAAUACCGAUGGCGAAGGCAGCUUCCUGGCAUCAUACUGACACUGAGGCUCGAAAGCGUGGGUAGCAAACAGGAUUAGAUACCCUGGUAGUCCACGCCGUAAACGAUGUCUACUAGUCGUUGGGUCCCUUGAGGACUUAGUGACGCAGCUAACGCAAUAAGUAGACCGCCUGGGGAGUACGGCCGCAAGGUUAAAACUCAAAUGAAUUGACGGGGGCCCGCACAAGCGGUGGAGCAUGUGGUUUAAUUCGAUGCAACGCGAAGAACCUUACC